UACGUAGGGUGCAAGCGUUAAUCGGAAUUACUGGGCGUAAAGCGUGCGCAGGCGGUUGUGCAAGACAGAUGUGAAAUCCCCGGGCUUAACCUGGGAACUGCAUUUGUGACUGCACGGCUAGAGUGUGUCAGAGGGGGGUAGAAUUCCACGUGUAGCAGUGAAAUGCGUAGAUAUCAGGAGGAAUACCGAUGGCGAAGGCAGGUCUCUGGGCUGAUACUGACGCUCAUGCACGAAAGCGUGGGGAGCAAACAGG
rnacentral:rRNA from 1 species